CACGCCCACCAGCGCCCCUCCCCUUUGGAUCGCCACCAGCGCCCCUCCCCUUCCGGCCGCCGCCACGCCCUCCUACGCGCCGGACCGCCACCCCACGUUCCUCCGCACCAGGCCGCCGCCACGCCCUCCUCCGCACCGGGCCGCCUCCCCACGUUCCUCCGCACCAGGCCGCCGUUGUUGCAGUUCUCCAGGAUCCAAGACCAAUCGACUAAGGGCUUGGAGCUGGCCGCGAGAAGGUGCUCGAGGUCGGAUCUCCAUCUCCAUUUGUGAUGUGUGCUCUGGUGCCAUUGAAGCAGAAUCCCGUGCUUCCCAAAUUGGUGGGUCUUCUCUUUCCUCCCUUCUUUCUCCAAUCUCCACCCCCAACCCGUUGGUAAUUCUAGACGAUGAUGCAUACUUCAUGAAAUUAAGUUGGUAACGUAUUGAAGAUGUUUGGUUCACUGUGUGUGAAAUAUCUGAUUGGUACAGAAGCUGCUUGUGCACGUCAAUCUAAGUCGUAUUUUAUAUUCAAUGUUGUUUGUUCAGAUAGUAAUGCACAAAGUUCGGCGUCUGCUGUUCUGGGUUCAGUGCUAGCAGAUCCUGCAAUGUCUCAAUUUCAGUUAUCCUAUCAUCAUUUGGGUCUAGCAAAAUUAUGUUCAUGCCUACAUCUAUAGUAGCCCCAUCAGUUACUUCCUUCAGAGUUGUAACUUACAAUGUAGAUUGUUAGUGCUUAUAUGCUUAGUAUAUAUGGCUGUCAUGGUAAUAUUCAUGCAGUAUGUAGGACACGAUUGGAGACUCUGGAAUUUGCAUUCAUUCAACGAUUAUUAUUUUUAGAUCAGUACAUGUUGUGAUUGAUGAUGGUGGAAAUUGGAGGGAUUCUAUUUACUUAUUUUUGCGAGGAGGAAUUAUCUCCAAGGUUGCCCUGUUGAGGAAACUUCAAAAAUUAGGCUUUUCUUUGUAAAUGAAUUCUCAAGACUGGUUUGAUUUCUGUUCCUUGGUCACAAAAUAGUCAUGGGAUUUCAUUUGAAUGGUUAUUCCUGAGAUUAUGCUGAACUAAAUAUGAGCGGUUCAGUGUGGUGUUUGGUUCGAAUGGCGAAUUUGGUGCGGUAUUUCUGCAGGAGUUUCUGAAUCUAAAGCAAGGGUGAGCGCCAAGGAAGGAGACGCCGCCACGGGCGACGGUGGCGGUGCUGACCGCUGGCGGCCGCAAUAAUUAAUAUUGUUCCUCAGAUCCACCAUCAUUAUGCUGCUGCACAAUCUGACAAGGAGAAGUCUUAUGCGGCGCAUAUUAACACUUACCGAGGUGAAGACCCAUUGUUGAUGAAGUACUUGCUAAUUGACCCAUCCGGCACCCAGCUAUUUGAUCUUAUUAGGGACGGUGUCCUGCUCUGUAGGUUAAUCAAUGUAGCUGUAUGUGGAACCAUUGAUGAGAGAGCAAUAAAUAAGAAAAGAGUUCGUAACCCAUGGGAGAGGAAUCAAAAUCACAUGAUGUGUCUCAACUCUGCAAAGGACAUUGGAUGUACUGUUGUCAACAUUGGUACGCAGGAUUUAGUGGAAGGAAGGUAACUUAAAUCAUGACGUCUCCCUUUAAUUCUGUCAUAUCCUGUAUCGUGAUAUUAAAUAUUGUUGUGAUGAAUUGGCAGGUAAAUUUAGGUACCAAAUACUCUUAUCAUUACUCUUAUCAGUCAAUAUUGUUUAAGGCCCAAAUUUUUGAUUGAACUUUUGGUCAGUUUUAAAUAUUUGUUCAUCAUAUUCAGGUCCAAAGAUAUGUAACAACCUAUUUGAGCAAGUUGGAAACACAUUCGGAUCAGGAUUAGUACAUCAUGCAUCUGCUAUCUUAUUUUGCGUUUGUAAUUGUAAUAGAUGUCUCCAGCUUCAGUAUGCUGUUAGUGACCCACAAAAAAAGUAUGUUGUUAGUUUACCUCAAGAACGCUUUAGGUUUGGUGGAAAGGAGAGAGAGAGAGAGGCUGAAAAGAAAAAACUUAUGGAAGUGGCACAGGCCAAAUUGAGCGCCAAGGUACCCAAAGAGGGGGGCACCCAUAGUUAAAAUGUUGUGGUCUUAGUAACAUCAAGAAUCUGUCAUAAUUAUUGGCUUUCGCUAUUCACUCGCUGGUUAGCCCAUAGUCCAGAAUCAGCUAACACUUUUUUGUGCUCCAGUUUUGGGCCAUCAUAUUUCCCCGAGAAUCAAGGGAAAGGAAGAGGAAAGUAAAAUGUUGAUACAUGAUCUGUUGCAAGUGUUUACGUCGCGCAGAAACUACAAUGAAGUUGUCGGGGAGAAGAUCCAGUGAACAAAGCUACAUCGAGUUAGGUCAAAGUGACUGGUCCUUGAAACGGUCUAUUGUGCAUCGAAAGUCACGUUCAUCUCUGGGAAAUUUCACCGCAGCCUCCGUCGUACAUGUGCUUCGAUCUAUUUUCGUAUUCUUUUCUUGGAUGUUUGACAAAUGCUUCACAAACUAAGCUCAUGUUAAACAUGCACAACUAUUAAUUCGCAAUAGCAGUGCCACGGUUCAGUUCAGCAUGGGGACCAACUACCUGUAUAAUGUCCACUCCUACUGGUCUUUCACCUGUCAAACAAGAAGACGUGGUGCAGCUAGCUACUGAAAAGGAGAUGACCGUGGUCCUCUUGACAACAAAGAUGAAGACGCAGCAGACCAAGCCUUUGCGUUCUCCACUCGCAUGCACAAGGAGUUCCGCAAGAUGGCCAAUGUUGUUAAGAACCAGAUCCCUCCCUCCACAGCCGGCGCUCCCUGUAAGGCCGCCCGUCCCCUUCGUCACCCACGCCGACGGACGUGCAUGCCCCUGCUCCACCUCACUCCUCCUUCGAAUUCGGCCGUCGAAGUGCUCGAGGAGGCGGUCGAGCUUGGCAUGCUCGCCGGUGACGCCGGCCCCUUACCGCACACGCCGGCUGCCGACCUCUCAGGCGGGCGGCGCACGCCGACCCCAGGAAGAGAGAAGUUCCCGUCCCCACGGAGAAGCUGUCCACGGAUCCAAAUCUAGACGGGGGAAGGCGGGGUGGUGUUGUGCUGGUGGCCACCGGGAGCUUCAACCUUCCCACCUACAUGCACAGGCAUGUUUGAGGUUGCGAAGGAUGAGUUGCAGCAGCGAGGGUAGUCGGUGCUGGGAUGUUACUGCCUUAAUGGAUACAUGUCCCUGGUGAACCGAUGCUAACAAGAAGAAGGCAAUGCAGAAAGGUCAUCAGCGUACCUUGACCAUUCUCUCAAGAGUUAAGAAUUCUUCUGUGCAAGGACGGCUUAGCUAAUCAAGGAAGUGUCAAGGUAAUGCUGCUAUGUGGUUCUGACCUGCUCGAGUCAUUCAGCAAGCCAGGGGUAUGGAUUCCAGAUCAGUCAAAGGAAGAAGUCGAACCUGAAGAAGUCCUCGGAAGAAUCACAGCUGCGUGUGCCCGGCUGGUUCAGGGGACGCGACAGGCGCUGGCGCCCUGCCCCGGCGGGCGUGUGCGCGGCGGCGUGGGUGCCAGUGCAGGGUGGGCCCGGCGGUGCGGGUGCCGGGGCAGGCUCUCUCCUGGGCACUGGCGAUCUCGCGGGAUGGAUGCCACGCUGCGAGCGGCAACAAUCGGCGAUGGCGAUCGUGCAUGGAGGUGACGGGACGGUGCAGUGCGGCGUGGUCGCCGUGCAGGCAGGAGACGAUAUUGGUGUGCGGCGUAUGUGCCAGGCGGCGAGGUCAAGGUCAAGGGCGUGAAGUUCCCUUAGCUUGCGAUCUGAUUUUCCGUGAUUGUAGGGGACACUGGGCUGGUUGUUAGCUUGCGAUCUGAUUUUCCGUGAUUGUAGGGGACGCUGGGUUGGUUGUUAGUUUGCGAUCUGAUUCCGUGAUUGUAGGGGACACGCGGGGCUGGUUGUUCGACUACUACCCUCCUGGUGAAGUAUGGUCAGUCAUUGGUAAAUGCUAAGUGCACACCGUAGAGGUAUUGGAUUAAUGAUGGCCGUUAGAUUGAGACUUGUUGGCCUAAUCGUGUGGUACUGAUUGGCUUGGGCUUAUUGUGGGACUAAUUGCAGGGUGCG